ensembl:rRNA 5S_rRNA 5S ribosomal RNA
GUCUAUGGCCAUACCACCAUAAACACACCCGAUCCCAUCUGAUCAGGAAGCUAAGCAGGGUCGGGCCUGGUUAGUACUUGGAUGGGAGAGUGAUUCUUUUAGCUGUAUGUGAAGCACAAAGCUUGAGAAA